rnacentral:rRNA from 1 species
AGAGUUUGAUCCUGGCUCAGGAUGAACGCUGGCGGCGUGCUUAACACAUGCAAGUCGAACGAAGCGCGCGGAAGGAAGGCCUUCGGGCCGGAGAGCCGCGGGACUGAGUGGCGGUCGGGUGAGUAACGCGUGGGCAACCUGCCCCGUACAGGGGGAUAACAGCCGGAAACGGCUGCUAAUACCGCAUAAGCGCACAGCGCCGCAUGGCGCGGUGUGAAAAGCUCCGGCGGUACGGGAGGGGCCCGCGUCUGAUUAGGCAGUUGGCGGGGUAAUGGCCCACCAAGGCGACGAUCAGUAGCCGGCCUGAGAGGGUGGACGGCCACAUUGGGACUGAGACACGGCCCAAACUCCUACGGGAGGCAGCAGUGGGGAAUAUUGCACAAUGGGGGAAACCCUGAUGCAGCGACGCCGCGUGAGUGAAGAAGUAAUUCGUUAUGUAAAGCUCUAUCAGCAGGGAAGAAAAUGACGGUACCUGAUUAAGAAGCCCCGGCUAACUACGUGCCAGCAGCCGCGGUAAUACGUAGGGGGCAAGCGUUAUCCGGAUUUACUGGGUGUAAAGGGAGCGUAGACGGCAGUGCAAGUCUGGAGUGAAAGGCGGGGGCUUAACCCCCGGACUGCUCUGGAAACUGUACAGCUGG